rnacentral:rRNA from 1 species
CAGGGAAUCUUGCGCAAUGGGCGAAAGCCUGACGCAGCAACGCCGCGUGGGGGAUGAAGGCCUUCGGGUUGUAAACCCCUUUCAGGAGGGAAGAAAUUGACGGUACCUCCAGAAGAAGGACCGGCCAACUACGUG